GAUGAACGCUGGCUACAGGCUUAACACAUGCAAGUCGAGGGGAAACGACGGGGAAGCUUGCUUCCCCGGGCGUCGACCGGCGCACGGGUGAGUAACGCGUAUCCAACCUGCCUCUGACUGAGGGAUAACCCGUCGAAAGUCGGCCUAAUACCUCAUGGUAUCGUCUGCGGGCAUCCAACGACGAUUAAAGAUUUCAUCGGUCAGGGAUGGGGAUGCGUCUGAUUAGCUUGUUGGCGGGGUAACGGCCCACCAAGGCUACGAUCAGUAGGGGUUCUGAGAGGAAGGUCCCCCACAUUGGAACUGGGACACGGUCCAAACUCCUACGGGAGGCAGCAGUGAGGAAGAUUGGUGAAUGGGCGAGAGCCUGAACCAGCCAAGUAGCGUGCAGGAAGACGGCCCUAUGGGUUGUAAACUGCUUUUAUGCGGGGAUAAAGUGAGGGACGUGUCCCUCAUUGCAGGUACCGCAUGAAUAAGGACCGGCUAAUUCCGUG
rnacentral:rRNA from 1 species